AUCCAGCUGACGAGUCCCAAAUAGGUCGAAACGCGCACCAAACUGGAU
rnacentral:hammerhead_ribozyme from 1 species